CUGCUGACUAAAAUCCUGAAUGUGGCGC
rnacentral:sRNA from 1 species